rnacentral:rRNA from 1 species
AACGAACGCUGGCGGCGCGCCUAAUACAUGCAAGUCGAGCGAGAAGACGUAGCAAUACGUUUGUAAAGCGGCGAACGGGUGAGGAAUACAUGGGUAACCUACCCUCGAGUGGGGAAUAACUAGCCGAAAGGUUAGCUAAUACCGCGUACGCUCCUUGGACUUCGGUUCAGGGAGGAAAGCGAUACCGUGGGUAUCGCGCUCUUGGAUGGGCUCAUGUCCUAUCAGCUUGUUGGUGAGGUAACGGCUCACCAAGGCUUCGACGGGUAGCUGGUCUGAGAGGACGAUCAGCCACACUGGCACUGCGACACGGGCCAGACUCCUACGGGAGGCAGCAGUAAGGAAUAUUGCGCAAUGGGCGAAAGCCUGACGCAGCGACGCCGCGUGGGGGAUGAAGGUCUUCGGAUUGUAAACCCCUUUCGGGAGGGAAGAUGGAACGGGCAAUCGUUCGGACGGUACCUCCAGAAGCAGCCACGGCUAACUUCGUGCCAGCAGCCGCA